ACUCAAAGGAAUUGACGGGGGCCCGCACAAGCAGCGGAGCGUGUGGUUCAAUUCGAGGUUACGCGAAGAACCUUACCAGGGGUUGAUAUGCAAGUAGUAGUGAAGCGAAAGCGGAACGACCCUUCGGGGAGCUUGCACAGGUGAUGCAUGGCUGUCGUCAGCUCGUGCCGUGAGGUGUUUGGUUAAGUCCACUAACGAGCGCCACCCUUGCCGCGUGUUACAUGUGUCACGCGGGACUGCCGGUAUCAAGCCGGAGGAAGGCGGGGAUGAAGUCAAGUCAGCAUGUCCUUUGCUCCUGGGCUACACACACGCUACAAUGGCCGGUACAAUGGGUCGCAAUGCCGCGAGGCGAAGCCAAUCCUCCAAAACCGGUCUCAGUUCGGAUUGCAGGCUGCAACCCGCCUGCAUGAAGUCGGAGUUGCUAGUAAACGCAGGACAGCUAUACUGCGUUGAAUACGUUCCCGGGCCUUGUACACACCGCCCGU
rnacentral:rRNA from 1 species